AGACCACAUGAUUAUAUGUUAAGCCUUGCGGACGGGCGGGUCGGUUGCCGA
rnacentral:sRNA from 1 species